AACGCACAUUGCGCCCUUUGGCAUUCCGAAGGGCAUGCCUGUUCGAGCGUCAUUUCGUCCAUCAAGCUCUGCUUGGUCUUGGGUGAGGUGUUGUAACCCACCCGCAACCCAUUCGCGGAGGUCGUUUCAAUCCCGGCGUAGCAAGUCUUUCGCUCGGACGAAGCGGUCCUUUUCGUUUCGAAAUUUUGACCUCGGAUCAGGUAGGAAUACCCGCUGAACUUAA
rnacentral:misc_RNA from 1 species